rnacentral:rRNA from 1 species
AUCUUCCGCAAUGGACGAAAGUCUGACGGAGCAACGCCGCGUGAGCGAAGAAGGCCUUCGGGUCGUAAAGCUCUGUUGUUAGGGAAGAAUAAGUAUGAGAGUAACUGCUCGUACCUUGACGGUACCUAACCAGAAAGCCACGGCUAACUACGUGCCAGCAGCCGCGGUAAUACGUAGGUGGCAAGCGUUGUCCGGAAUUAUUGGGCGUAAAGCGCGCGCAGGCGGUCCUUUAAGUCUGAUGUGAAAGCCCACGGCUCAACCGUGGAGGGUCAUUGGAAACUGGGGGACUUGAGUGCAGAAGAGGAGAGUGGAAUUCCACGUGUAGCGGUGAAAUGCGUAGAGAUGUGGAGGAACACCAGUGGCGAAGGCGACUCUCUGGUCUGUAACUGACGCUGAGGCGCGAAAGCGUGGGGAGCAAACAGG